rnacentral:lncRNA from 1 species
GGCAAACAGCGCAGGUCCGCUUCCCGUCUGUGGAAGCUUUGUUCUUUCGCUCUUGACAAUAAAUCUUAAUGCUGCUCUCUCUUUGGGUCCAUGCCAUCUUUAAGAGCUGUGACACUUACAGCCAAGGUCCGGGGCUCCAUUCUUGAAGUCAGCGAGACCACGAAUCCACCGGAAGGAGCAAACUCUGGACAUGGCAUGUGCUUUUGCAGGAAGGACGCUGGACUCUUGCACUAUAAGUUGAAAACAUCGCUUAUAAACAAUACAUCACAGCACACUUGCAGAGAGAGCACUGAGGUAAUUAACGUCUGGGAGAAAGGAUGGAGAAACAUAGAGGAUCCCCAUGCUCAACGAAUAGAGUUCAUCAAAAUAAGAUAUGAUCAAGGUACAAAAGAGUUAAAGAAGCUAUUUAUUUUAAUGUUUCCUUGGAGAGCACACUUGUUAUUAUGCCUGCCCCAGCUUUGCCUUCCACCAUGAGUAAAAGCUUCCCAAGUCCUCCCCAGAAGCAGAUGCUGGCGCUAUGCUUCUGGUACAGCCUGAAAAACCUUGAGCCAAUUAAACCUCAGUGAGCUCAAGAUGUCUUUGUUGAAACAGAACCUCCCGAAGUUACAGUAUUGGUUUUGGGGCUCCACACAGAGAACACAUCACGGAAGCUAUAAUUGAGGAAGACAAAGCUGUCAGGACGACACCAAGAGAGUUAGAAAGCCCAAGAGUGGAGCAUUCUUCACCAUGAUUCCACCUGACACUUGGCUGAAAGCAUUUUGCACUAAUUUGCUUUGUGCCCGUUCAGACAAUCUAAAAAGAAAGGAUGGGGGGACAACAAGUGUCUAUUACACAGAAUAAACAGCCUCUGGCAAAUGAAUACAUUUU